rnacentral:rRNA from 1 species
UACGUAGGGGGCAAGCGUUGUCCGGAUUUAUUGGGCGUAAAGAGCGUGUAGGCGGCCAGGUAGGUCUGCUGUGAAAACUCGAGGCUUAACCUCGAGCUGUCGGCGGAAACCAUCUGGCUAGAGUCCGGAAGAGGAGAAUGGAAUUCCCGGUGUAGCGGUGAAAUGCGUAGAUAUCUGCAGGAACACCCGUGGCGAAAGCGGCGCGCUGGACCACUACUGACGCUGAGGUGCGAAAGCGUGGGGAGCAAACAGG